GAUGUGUAGGAUAGGUGGGAGGCUUUGAAGCGUGGACGCCAGUCUGCGUGGAGCCGGCCUUGAAAUACCACCCUUUAAUGUUUGAUGUUCUAACGUGGACCCGUGAUCCGGGUUGCGGACAGUGUCUGGUGGGUAGUUUGACUGGGGCGGUCUCCUCCUAAAGAGUAACGGAGGAGCACGAAGGUUGGCUAAUCCUGGUCGGACAUCAGGAGGUUAGUGCAAUGGCAUAAGCCAGCUUGACUGCGAGCGUGACGGCGCGAGCAGGUGCGAAAGCAGGUCAUAGUGAUCCGGUGGUUCUGAAUGGAAGGGCCAUCGCUCAACGGAUAAAAGGUACUCCGGGGAUAACAGGCUGAUACCGCCCAAGAGUUCAUAUCGACGGCGGUGUUUGGCACCUCGAUGUCGGCUCAUCACAUCCUGGGGCUGAAGUAGGUCCCAAGGGUAUGGCUGUUCGCCAUUUAAAGUGGUACGCGAGCUGGGUUUAGAACGUCGUGAGACAGUUCGGUCCCUAUCUGCCGUGGGCGCUGGAGAACUGAGGGGGGCUGCUCCUAGUACGAGAGGACCGGAGUGGACGCAUCACUGGUGUUCGGGUUGUCAUGCCAAUGGCACUGCCCGGUAGCUAAAUGCGGAAGAGAUAAGUGCUGAAAGCAUCUAAGCACGAAACUUGCCCCGA
rnacentral:rRNA from 1 species